rnacentral:sRNA from 1 species
UCAAGCAUCUCGGGCGAAAAAACUUAAGUACAGAAAAACAGAUUGACAAUUUUUUAGAGGAUUAGAUUAGUUAGUGGAGAGACCACUCAACAUAUUUUAAAGCUGAUGCUCUAAGAAGUAUCUAUAGCAAAUUUUAGGCUUUGACUUCACUGCGAGCUGCUCAUACGAAAUUAUCAACCAUAGUAACUAUUGGGUAUAUGUCAUAAAAAAAUCGAUAACAAUUUUCAUGCAACAUGGAAACUUAUUGAUAUUUUCCUUCGCAUCCAAGUGGGCUGUGAAAAAAUUCCUAUAUCCCAGCGCAGAGAACAAAAAACUUUCAGUCUGAAUCGACUACUCGUCUAGAGCACAUUGUGAGCUUGUGAAAAAAAAGGAAAAAAUAAUAAUUAAAAAUAUAAAAAUAAAUAAUUUUUUUUUCGCGCGAUUUUCGGAAAUAAAAGCUAAAAGUAAUUCGAUAAAAUGCGUCCAUCACCGUUUAACUACAGCAAUUCUUCGCGUUCACGUGGCACGUUGGGGGGAGUCAGGCUGUCGAAGAAGGCUCGUCGCGCUUUGCAGAACUUCUUGAAGGAGCUGGUAGCGCUUCAGAUUGUCAUCGACAAUUUUCAGAUGUUAUCUAACCACUUGGAGGAGGAGACCGCCGAUUAGUUCUUAUUCUAUAAAGAAAUGCACGCUUUUGCUACAAUUUACACCGAAAAAAAAAACUGUUCAGGCAGCAUUUUCGUGGCCACGUGAAAAUUACAAAAUUAAGCAUCUCCGGCAAAAAACAAGCUUAAAUACAGAAAAAAUGUUAGACAAUUUUCAGAUGUCAGCUGACUAAUUGAAUAUUGAGGAAGAUUACACAUAUUUACACCGAAAAAAAAAAACAUAGUUCAGACAGCAAAUAAAAUUGGAUAAUUAGGCAUCUCGCGCAAGACACAAACUUAAACACAGAAAAAAAGGUCAACAAUUUUCAGAUGUCAGCUGACAUUGAAUACAGAUGAAGACUAUUUCUAAUUAUAUAACGAAAAACACAGUUUUGCUACAAUUUACACCGAGAAAAGAACUUUUCACAUAGUUUAGGCAGCUUUUUCCGUGGCCACUUUAAAAUUGCGAAAUUAACCGUUUUCAAGCAUCUCGGCCCCAAGAAACUAACUUAAAUACAGAAGAAAACACGAUGUUUGCCGCUUGCUCAGCAAAUACGCUUGACACUGAGAUUACCAAUUCAAGAACACGAGGAGAACACUAGGCAAAAGUCACGGCUGCUUAU